GAUGAACGCUGGCGGCGUGCCUAAUACAUGCAAGUCGAGCGAACAGACGAGGAGCUUGCUCCUCUGACGUUAGCGGCGGACGGGUGAGUAACACGUGGAUAACCUACCUAUAAGACUGGGAUAACUUCGGGAAACCGGAGCUAAUACCGGAUAAUAUAUUGAACCGCAUGGUUCAAUAGUGAAAGACGGCUUUGCUGUCACUUAUAGAUGGAUCCGCGCCGCAUUAGCUAGUUGGUAAGGUAACGGCUUACCAAGGCAACGAUGCGUAGCCGACCUGAGAGGGUGAUCGGCCACACUGGAACUGAGACACGGUCCAGACUCCUACGGGAGGCAGCAGUAGGGAAUCUUCCGCAAUGGGCGAAAGCCUGACGGAGCAACGCCGCGUGAGUGAUGAAGGUCUUCGGAUCGUAAAACUCUGUUAUUAGGGAAGAACAAAUGUGUAAGUAACGAUGCACGUCUUGACGGUACCUAAGCAGAAAGCCACGGCUAACUACGU
rnacentral:rRNA from 1 species